UAGUGGGGGAUAGCCCGGCGAAAGCCGGAUUAAUACCGCAUACGAUCUGAGGAUGAAAGCGGGGGACCUUCGGGCCUCGCGCUAUAGGGUUGGCCGAUGGCUGAUUAGCUAGUUGGUGGGGUAAAGGCCUACCAAGGCGACGAUCAGUAGCUGGUCUGAGAGGACGACCAGCCACACUGGGACUGAGACACGGCCCAGACUCCUACGGGAGGCAGCAGUGGGGAAUUUUGGACAAUGGGCGAAAGCCUGAUCCAGCAAUGCCGCGUGUGUGAAGAAGGCCUUCGGGUUGUAAAGCACUUUUGUCCGGAAAGAAAUCCUUGGUUCUAAUAUAGCCGGGGGAUGACGGUACCGGAAGAAUAAGCACCGGCUAACUACGUGCCAGCAGCCGCGGUAAUACGUAGGGUGCAAGCGUUAAUCGGAAUUACUGGGCGUAAAGCGUGCGCAGGCGGUUUGCUAAGACCGAUGUGAAAUCCCCGGGCUCAACCUGGGAACUGCAUUGGUGACUGGCA
rnacentral:rRNA from 1 species